AGCUCAAGUGUGGGGAUUUAUUCAUUGCAAAUUUUCAGCAAGGUAUGGAGAUGUCAAAUUUUUGGGAAAACCCUAGAAUCCGAUUUUGGGGAUUUUAAUUAAUUAAUUGUGAAGUGAUUAUGUAAAUGAAAUAUUUCACUUGGGAAUUGAUUUUAUGGAACAAAUGUAUAUUAUGUGGGUGGAAUUGUGGUUACUAGUUUCAUUAGAUUGGAGAGUAAAAUUAGUUUUAAAUUUGAAAUGAUGGUUAUGUUGAUAAAUUAGUGAUUAACCAAGGGAUUAUAAGGUGUGAUUAGCUCCAAUUAAUAAAGGAAAAUUUGAGAAUUUAUUUAAGUACCAAGAGCAUUCAAAUUAAGUUCUAUUAUUAGAUAUUAAGGUUUCUCGAUUUGAUAGUGGAUAAAUUGGUUAUCAUUAUCGUAUUUCAGGAGGUAACGAGGCGAUUGGAAACGUCUAUCAGCCUAUCUAGCUUGUAGCUCAUAUCUUGAGAAGGUCAAUUUUGAGAUAUUUGGGAAAACCUGCUGAAGCAAAAGAGACCGUUUCAUAAGUAUGUAAUGAAUAGUUGGGGAACUUAUGUUUAUUAAGUAAUUGUCUAAUUUUGGGUGACAAGCAUAUUCGUAGAAGGGUUUGUAAGUUAUGUAAUACUUGCAUGUUGACAGGAUGAUGUUGUAGAAGCACUCAGUCAAAUUUUGUUA